rnacentral:rRNA from 1 species
CGCUAUCACUCCUACGGGGAGGCAGCAGUAGGGAAUCUUCCACAAUGGGCGCAAGCCUGAUGGAGCAACACCGCGUGAGUGAAGAAGGGUUUCGGCUCGUAAAGCUCUGUUGUUAAAGAAGAACACGUAUGAGAGUAACUGUUCAUACGUUGACGGUAUUUAACCAGAAAGUCACGGCUAACUACGUGCCAGCAGCCGCGGUAAUACGUAGGUGGCAAGCGUUAUCCGGAUUUAUUGGGCGUAAAGAGAGUGCAGGCGGUUUCUAAGUCUGAUGUGAAAGCCUUCGGCUUAACCGGAGAAGUGCAUCGGAAACUGGAUAACUUGAGUGCAGAAGAGGGUAGUGGAACUCCAUGUGUAGCGGUGGAAUGCGUAGAUAUAUGGAAGAACACCAGUGGCGAAGGCGGCUACCUGGUCUGCAACUGACGCUGAGACUCGAAAGCAUGGGUAGCGAACGGGAUUAGAUACCCUGGUAG